GACGAACGCUGGCGGCGUGCUUAACACAUGCAAGUCGAACGGAAAGGCCCUGCUUUUGUGGGGUGCUCGAGUGGCGAACGGGUGAGUAACACGUGAGUAACCUGCCCUUGACUUUGGGAUAACUUCAGGAAACUGGGGCUAAUACCGGAUAGGAGCUCCUGCUGCAUGGUGGGGGUUGGAAAGUUUCGGCGGUUGGGGAUGGACUCGCGGCUUAUCAGCUUGUUGGUGGGGUAGUGGCUUACCAAGGCUUUGACGGGUAGCCGGCCUGAGAGGGUGACCGGCCAAAUGGGGAAUGAGAAAGGGCCCAGACUCCGACGGGGGGCAGAAGGGGGGAAUAUUGCAAAAUGGGCGGAAGCCGGAUGAAGCAACGCCGCGUGGGGGAAGACGGCCUUGGGGUUGUAAACCGCUUUCGCCUGGGACGAAGGGGGGGUGACGGUAAUGGGUAAAGAAACACCGGCUAAAUACGU
rnacentral:rRNA from 1 species